GGGUUCCUCAAGAUUGCUAGUUUUCAUCAUUCUUCCUAUACUCUUGGUCUUGGCCCCUCUUGCUCCUACCAUAGUGGGCGACCAAACCACCAGCGGUGUUUGCACGAUGAGAGCAGAAUACUGCUGGAGCUGCUUCAAUACUAAAAACACCAACAAUGGCAGCAUCUACAAUCAAAACCUCAAUACCCUCCUCUCCUCUUUCACUUCCAACCCCAAAAUCAAUCCCAGAUUUUACAGUUCUUCUCGGGGACAAGCCCCCAACAAAGUGAACGCAAUUGCCGUAUGCAGAGGGGACGUUGCAUCCGAAGAUUGCCGCACCUGUUUCAAGGACUCUGUUUCCAUUCUCCUGCAGAACUGUACUAAUCAGAAGGAAGCAAUCAUAUGGGCAGAGCACUGUACGGUUCGAUACUCGAACAUCUCGAUUUUCGGUGUGCUUAAAUAUGAGCCUCUUAAGUUUGUGCCAAGCCCAAAUAAGAUAUCAAACGCUGAACGGUUCAAGCAGGUGCGCGACCCCUUAUUUGGAAAUUUACGUGAGAAAGCUGCAGCAGGGAACUCUAUUUUAAAAUUUGCAGCAGGGAAUGCGUCGGUGCCUUGUACAAAUCAAACUGUAUAUGCAAAUGUCCAGUGCAGCCCUGAUUUGGACAAACAAAAGUGCAGCGAUUGCCUUAAAGAGUCCAUCUCAAAUAUUACAGAGUGUUGUGGUGGUGUGGGUGGAGGAAGAGUUCUUAGACCCAGCUGUUAUUUGAGGUUUGAGUCAAAUCCGAUACCCUAAUAAACCUUCCGGGCGAACAAGGAAAUAAUACGAGUGGAAAUAAUACGAAUAACAUUACAAUAAAAGUGUCGCCACCGUCGUUCUGACGAUUGGUAUUGUCAUUAUGCUUAUUAAUAUUAUCAGCAUUUGCAUUCUUGUGAGAGUCUGGAAGCGAAGGGCACUCUUCGUUUGUAAGUGCUUGAAUUUGUCAAGGCCCAUGUAAUAGGGAUUACUCCCUUUUUUCAAAAAAUAAUAAAAAUAAGGAUUAUUCUA